rnacentral:lncRNA from 1 species
AUCAUUUCCCUUCUUCUUCAACCAUCUUUUCAUCCCCAAAGAUACAGCCAACAAAACAAAAACAAAAAACCUGUUCAUUGUUUGUUUUUCUAUAGUAAGAAAAAAAACAUGUUCAUCUUCAGUCACAAUUACUAGUUAUGUAACCAAAAAAAAUUACCAGUUAUGUAAUUUUCAUCUUCAGUCACAAUUCACCUCCAUCUCCAUUAUCCUUUCCUUCUUCUAACUCCACUCUUCUCAG